AAAUGGAGGAUGAAGCUCCACAGAAGUGUUUUCCAUCUUCCAGGUGAAGCUGGACCAUCAGGACCUCCUGAGGACAGAGAUGGAUCCGGGACGCCUCCCUCUGCCGUCUCCAGGCGGCUGUGCAGCUGCGUCUCACACCUCAUCCGGAGCCUCGGAGAUCUCACAGAGAUCCACCGAGUAAAGUUUGGAGGAAACGACCCCGGAGUGUCCUGGCUGACCCCCCCCCCAUCCCUCUACACCAACCUCCUCCGGCCAAGCAAAGCCCGCUAUCAGAGGAUGACAUGAAACACCACGCUGCCGGGCAUCCUCCUCUUCCUCCUCCUCCUCCUCCUCUGGAGCAAACGCAUCACUGGACGCCAGAAAGGAGCGCCGCUUCCUCCCUGAGAUUCUUCCCAGAAGAUGCCAGGGAUUAAAGGAAGAGGAGACUGCAGGACACCGCCGUGUCACCUAGCAUUAAACACCACUAAACUCUCCGGUUAUGAGAUACUCGCUCCAGAAAUGGGUCAGAACACGAAAAAAAACGGAGAUCUACCCGUUUUCAUCCAUUCUUCCAUCCGCUGACUCUAAUGCCUUGUGGAUGAAAAAUAGCUUUUCUAAGGAAAAUAAUAAUUUUAAGUCUUUUGUUAUUAUUAAACCUUUAUUUAACCAGCUGAGCUAUUAAGAACAUGUUCUUUUUUUUACAAU